rnacentral:rRNA from 1 species
AGGGAAUUUUCCACAAUGGACGAAAGUCUGAUGGAGCAACGCCGCGUGAACGAUGAAGGCUCUCGGGUCGUAAAGUUCUGUUGUUAGGGACGAACAAGUGCCGUUCGAACAGGGCGGCGCCUUGACGGUACCUAACGAGAAAGCCACGGCUAACUACGUGCCAGCAGCCGCGGUAAUACGUAGGUGGCAAGCGUUGUCCGGAAUUAUUGGGCGUAAAGCGCGCGCAGGCGGUUAUGUAAGUCUGAUGUUAAAGCCCGGGGCUCAACCUCGGUCCGCAUUGGAAACUGCGUAACUUGAGUGCAGAAGAGGAAAGUGGUAUUCCACGUGUAGCGGUGAAAUGCGUAGAGAUGUGGAGGAACACCAGUGGCGAAGGCGACUUUCUGGUCUGUAACUGACGCUGAGGCGCGAAAGCGUGGGGAGCAAAC